rnacentral:rRNA from 1 species
AUUGAACGCUGGCGGCAGGCCUAACACAUGCAAGUCGAACGGUAACAGGAAGAAGCUUGCUUCUUUGCUGACGAGUGGCGGACGGGUGAGUCAUGUCUGGGAAACUGCCUGAUGGAGGGGGAUAACUACUGGAAACGGUAGCUAAUACCGCAUAACGUCGCAAGACCAAAGAGGGGGACCUUCGGGCCUCUUGCCAUCGGAUGUGCCCAGAUGGGAUUAGCUAGUAGGUGGGGUCACGGCUUACCUAGGCGACGAUCCCUAGCUGGUCUGAGAGGAUGACCAGCCACACUGGAACUGAGACACGGUCCAGACUCCUACGGGAGGCAGCAGUGGGGAAUAUUGCACAAUGGGCGCAAGCCUGAUGCAGCCAUGCCGCGUGUAUGAAGAAGGCCUUCGGGUUGUAAAGUACUUUCAGCGGGGAGGAAGGGAGUAAAGUUAAUACCUUUGCUCAUUGACGUUACCCGCAGAAGAAGCACCGGCUAACUCCGUG